rnacentral:rRNA from 1 species
GAUGAACGCUGGCGGAGUGCCUAAUACAUGCAAGUCGAGCGGCAGCACGAGAAGUUUACUUCUUGGUGGCGAGCGGCGGACGGCUGAGUAACGCGUGAGAACGUGCCCCAAAGUGAGGAAUAACUACCCGAAAGGGUGGCUAAUACCGCAUAUGAUCUUCGGAUUAAAGCUUUCGAGCGCUUUGGGAGCGCCCGCGUCCGAUUAGAUAGUUGGUGAGGUAAUGGCUCACCAAGUCGACGAUCGGUAGCUGGUCUGAGAGGAUGAUCAGCCAGACUGGGACUGAGACACGGCCCAGACUCCUACGGGAGGCAGCAGUAAGGAAUCUUCCACAAUGGGGGCAACCCUGAUGGAGCAACUCCGCGUGCAGGACGAAGGCCUUCGGGUCGUAAACUGCUUUUAUGAGUGAAGAAUAUGACGGUAACUCAUGAAUAAGGAUCGGCUAACUACGUGCCAGCAGCCGCCGUAA